GUGUGUGCAGAAGAGCGGCGCUCUGAGACGGAGACUGCACCACAGCGCCCUCUAGCCGCUUGGUGGCUUCAUUGCCGCUCCAAAUCAUAUGCACUUCCUCCGAGUUUUUUCCUCAUGAUGACCAGUGUUCAUUGCCUAGAAGUCUUGCUAAAACGUCAAUAAUCAAAAAUCGAAUUGUUUUUGUAGAAAUUGGAGGAAACCAGAGAACCCGGAGGAAACCUGUGUGAGCACAGGGAGAACAUGCAAAACUCCGCACACAAGAUUGAACCGAACACCCUGAAGCUGUGAGGCAGCAGAACUACCCCGUCCUCCAUUGUGCCAUCCUGGCUUUCUUCAGAACAACUCAUCCAGAAUGACCAAGAGAAGAAAUAAGCACUAGAUUCUGCUGCACAUUCUCCAAUAAAGCCGAAAAUAAAACAAAAACAAAACAAAACAAAAAAAAAAAUCCAAC